UACGGGGGGGGCAAGCGUUGUUCGGAAUUACUGGGCGUAAAGGGCUCGUAGGUGGCCAACUAAGUCGGACGUGAAAUCCCUCGGCUUAACCGGGGAACUGCGUCCGAUACUGGUUGGCUUGAGUUUGGGAGAGGGAUGCGGAAUUCCAGGUGUAGCGGUGAAAUGCGUAGAUAUCAUUUGGAACGCCAAUGGUGAAAACAGGUAGCUGGGGCUGUGCUGACGCUGAGACACGAAAGCCAGGGGAGCGAACGGG
rnacentral:rRNA from 1 species